GAACACUAGAGUUAGUGUAAGUCAAGAUUGAACUUAUAAUCCUUUGAGUUAAGGAUUCGAUCAUACUUGCUAUGAGUUCCGUGCUCGAGGGCGGUCGCUCCCCCUCGGGCGAUGCGCUCUGGAGUUAUGCAUCACGGGUUGGAGUAAACCCGAAGGACGGUCCUAGCGGGUGAGUUCCUGCGAUGAUGGACUUAAUGUGAAGCAAGUUAACGUGGCGAAACCUCCGGGUUAG
rnacentral:lncRNA from 1 species